CCUACGGGAGGCAGCAGUGGGGAAUUUUCCGCAAUGGGCGAAAGCCUGACGGAGCAACGCCGCGUGAGGGAUGAAGGCCUCUGGGCUGUAAACCUCUUUUAUCAAGGAAGAAGAUCUGACGGUACUUGAUGAAUAAGCCACGGCUAAUUCCGUGCCAGCAGCCGCGGUAAUACGGGAGUGGCAAGCGUUAUCCGGAAUUAUUGGGCGUAAAGCGUCCGCAGGCGGUCUGUCAAGUCUGCUGUUAAAGCGUGGAGCUUAACUCCAUUUCGGCAGUGGAAACUGACAGACUAGAGUGUGGUAGGGGCAGAGGGAAUUCCCGGUGUAGCGGUGAAAUGCGUAGAUAUCGGGAAGAACACCAGUGGCGAAGGCGCUCUGCUGGGCCAUAACUGACGCUCAUGGACGAAAGCCAGGGGAGCGAAAGGGAUUAGAUACCCCUGUAGUCCUGGCCGUAAACGAUGAACACUAGGUGUCGGGGGAAUCGACCCCCUCGGUGUCGUGGCCAACGCGUUAAGUGUUCCGCCUGGGGAGUACGCACGCAAGUGUGAAACUCAAAGGAAUUGACGG
rnacentral:rRNA from 1 species